rnacentral:lncRNA from 1 species
CCCAGGAUCAAGUGGUGUUAAAUUGAGAAGUCAUCCUGAUCACCUGACUAGUGGUGAACCCCGAUUUAAGAAUUUCCAAGUCUACCCUCGCCAUCUCUAAAUGUACAGACGCACCGCACUCCCUGCCCUGGGGUCACCACCGAAGCCUCCUGGUGGAGCCCUGCCCUGCUGAGGACGCUCUUCCAGCACAGAACUCACCACCAAAAAGAGACGGCGCCCAGCUGGCGCCCGCCCCGGGCACAUUGCAGUAAAUGCCUGGCAGCGACUUCUCGCUUCUCCUUCCUCCUACCCCAUCGACCCUCUGCUGCCGACCUUUACGCCAAACUCCGGCGCGCCGCGAGACUCGCGUCCUCCCUGUCCCCGAGGGGCCCCACCCCUUCCCGGUUCUAACCUGCGACCUGGCCAGAGGCAAGGUGAAUGGGAAGAUGGAGAUGGAUGUUGAGGGAGUUUCUCCGCGCCCGGAGCCCAUCCCCCGCUCCCAGGGGGCUGGCGGAGCCUGCCAGGCGCCGCCACAGCCGCCCCAGCCCCAGCCGCCGCCGCAGCAGCUGGCUCAGGAUGAACUGCCCGGCGAGAGUGCAGGCGCUGAGGACAGCGACGAUCCCGAGACGAGACCCAACGGCGAGAAAGGAGAGAGCAGGUAUUUCAGUGACAUCAUCCACUCAGGAGAGUUGGGGCGAGGCUGGCUGAGGUUCUCAAGGAGCUGAGUUUUGAGUUCAGGUGCUCGUGUAGCAGUGGAAUGAUGCCUCCUGACCUUUCAGACCUUUGAGACCUCUGGGCGGUCUUAGAAAUCACUUCAAGCCUCCAGUCCAGGAUACGACUGCCUAGGGGAAUUCCAGGGAAAGGUGGCAGGUAGAGUAUCCUUUCUGAGUUUUAUUCUCUCGUCCUCCUUUCCCUUCUUUCUAUGUGUCUGUGUUGCUCUGUUGUGUCUCCUCCUCGAGAUUCCAAAGAACGUUGAUGCCAAGGUAUUUAUUUUAUGUUCUUGUCAACAGAGAUGCCAUGGUCAACAAGGUGAUGAAUACCACUGUGAGCUCACUACAAGAUCUCAAAGAUUUCAAGCCACUGGCUGUUCCAAAGCAUGAAGCCGCCCUUCCGGAGCAGUGGCAGGAGGCAGGCAGGGAGGAGGUAAGGAAUCAUCCUCUCUUCCCUGUGCCCCUUGACUCCAUCAGCCUUUAGCUGUCAGAUUGUUUGGACUCAUGGCUGAUGGGUUUUUUCCCGUGUGUUCUUCCACAGGCCCCGAGUUUUGGCCAGAUGAUGGACCGUCUCCUUAGGUGUCCAGGGAGCUGCUGAAACAUAGUGAGGAAGAUGCUGCUGAUCCAAAGGAUAAAAACACAGAAACUGAAACCAAGAAGCACCUAAAGUGGACUCACGCCCAGCAUCCCUGCAGACUGAUGUUCUCUCAGCUAUAGUUCUGCAUUGAACUGUUUUCCUUUGCUAUCACCUGCCUAACACACAGUCCUGGAUGCUUUUCACUGGUUGGAUUUCUUUCUUUUUUUUUUUUUUUCCCUGCCUUUUCAUUUUCUUUCCUUUUUUUCCUGCCUUUUCUUUUUCUUUCCUUGACCCUGGGAAUUACAAACAAGAAAUUGCUUUAAAAAGUAUUAUUCAGUGCUGAAAAUAGCCUUGUUUAUGAACAAGUUUUAUCCCUACGGAUUUCCUGAAAUGCAAUCUCAGGUUACCUUGUAAAUGGGGCUGUGCCAUUUGAUUUGUAUAGUACUGAUCUGUAAGUUAAAAUACAUUUCCUUUCCUUUGUUUCAUUCUUUUUUUAAAAGUUUGGAUCCAGGUAAUGGCCUGAAUCACAUUUGCUUAGCUACUGAAGUGAUCUCAAUGUGUUAUCGCUUAGAGUUGAAACAUAAUCAAACAUACGUUAUACCUGGGGCUCUUGCAUACUCUUUGAUACAUAUGUCACACUACAAAGAAACACAAACCUUGUAGGUUGAAAUUUAAUUCCUGUUUGAUCCUGCAGCUAGAAUGCUAAGGAAAUUGUAAAUAUCAAAAUUGGCUUCAAAUACCCUGAAUAUAAGCUAGUCAACAGUAAGUGGAUGGUUCCAGAAUACCAUUUUCUAAGACAAAGCAGGAAUUAGAGAUCAACUGACCUCAUCCAUAAUGUUGCUCAGGUCUGUCUGUGGAUCUGUCCAUUUUGGAGUAAAAAACAAGGCAUGCUUCUGUGAUUGUGUUUUUGAAAACUGUAGUCUUUCAGAUUUAUGUUUUGUAAUUGUGCUUGCCUUGCAAUAAAACACCUUCAGUUGACUCGCAAUAAGGUCUCUGUCAAUUUCCUGCAAAACUGUGUCCUUAUUGGCUUUCUAAAAAAGUUCAGUGUAGACCUAUCAGUGGUGACCUGCUAGACAUUUCAGCUGGAUCUAGCAUUAUUGCUCUUUCAGAAAUAACACUAGAGCUGUCCAUUGUCUACACAUGGGGUCAGAGUUGUACAGUCAGAUUCUCAAGUCUUCGUAUUAGCAUCAACUACAGAAAUCUAUAGUCACAGCCUAACCCUGUUACGUAUAUGUGCUUCCAUCUGCCAUUGUGUUCCAACUCUGGAGUCCCUAUUUAUUUGUGAGACUCUAGGAUAAGCCAAAAACCCUCUGGACCUCAGUGUCCUCAUGUACAAAAUGGGGAUAGUGAUACUUCCAAUGAUUGUGGUGAUAAGUGCCUGUAAAAGGACAUCACAUGGAUGGUACUUUGCACAUUGUAAAUUCAUUGGAAUGUGGCAAUAUUCAAUAAAUGGUGGUUAUUUUAUUUGUUAAUAAAGAAUUGAAUGAAUUUCUAAAUCUCUUACAGUUGACCUUUAGUUGAGAACACUGAGUAACUUCUGAAUAGUUUCUUAGCCCUCUUUACUUAAAGCUCUUGGAAAAAAACAUGAAGAUUCAUGAGACAGAAGUCUGGAGUGGAGAAUCUGCUGCUGCCUUCCUUGGCCACACAACCUAAUACCUUGGCUCCUUGAUUCCUCCUUCUGAAAAAUAGGGCAGAUGUUUUACCUCCUUCGCAGAGAUGAACAUAUCCUGUUCUCAGAAAAUGAUAUACUGUACACAUAACUGUAUGAGACAUUACCUUUUCCACUUGUUUGCAACAUCAAGCCCAUAUCAUCCAAGGGGAGGUGAGUAUCCCUCUAAAUACUGACAAGAAGAGCUCAUUAACUAAAGAAAAUAAUUCAGACCAUCAAGAAACAAAUCAAACUGGAUCUGUCACUUUAGUGGAAAGCACUUUUGAGAAAACCCUGGUAUUCUCUACCACCACGCCUGGGAUUUCAGGGUGAUCAAAAUGUGCAGCAAAGACAAGACCUAAGAUACUUCAUUUUGGGCUGGGUGGCAAAUGGAACAGUUGUUCUCUGAUUGCCAUGGUACAGAUUAUUGUCCCACAGACAUUAUCCCUGGAUUUCAAGACAUGCAUAGUAGAAAGAACAUUUUCUACUUUCUCCCUGAAGUCAUUAAAAUGACGAUAAUAAUUGCAAUAGCAAAUUAACAGUUAUUAAGCACUUACUAUAGGCUGGGAAUUAGGC